UAUGUUGGCCGGGCGACGGUUGUCCCGGUUUAAGCGUGUAGGUGUGUGUUCCAGGUAAAUCCGGUUCACUUUAACACUGAGGCGUGACGACGAGGCACUACGGUGCUGAAGCAACAAAUGCCCUGCUUCCAGGAAAAGCCUCUAAGCAUCAGGUAACAUCAAAUCGUACCCCAAACCGACACAGGUGGUCAGGUAGAGAAUACCAAGGCGCUUGAGAGAACUCGGGUGAAGGAACUAGGCAAAAUGGUGCCGUAACUUCGGGAGAAGGCACGCUGACACGUAGGUGAAGUGAUUUACUCAUGGAGCUGAAGUCAGUCGAAGAUACCAGCUGGCUGCAACUGUUUAUUAAAAACACAGCACUGUGCAAACACGAAAGUGGACGUAUACGGUGUGACGCCUGCCCGGUGCCGGAAGGUUAAUUGAUGGGGUCAGCGCAAGCGAAGCUCCUGAUCGAAGCCCCGGUAAACGGCGGCCGUAACUAUAACGGUCCUAAGGUAGCGAAAUUCCUUGUCGGGUAAGUUCCGACCUGCACGAAUGGCGUAAUGAUGGCCAGGCUGUCUCCACCCGAGACUCAGUGAAAUUGAACUCGCUGUGAAGAUGCAGUGUACCCGCGGCAAGACGGAAAGACCCCGUGAACCUUUACUAUAGCUUGACACUGAACAUUGAGCCUUGAUGUGUAGGAUAGGUGGGAGGCUUUGAAGUGUGGACGCCAGUCUGCAUGGAGCCGACCUUGAAAUACCACCCUUUAAUGUUUGAUGUUCUAACGUGGACCCGUUACCCGGGUUGCGGACAGUGUCUGGUGGGUAGUUUGACUGGGGCGGUCUCCUCCUAAAGAGUAACGGAGGAGCACGAAGGUUGGCUAAUCCUGGUCGGACAUCAGGAGGUUAGUGCAAUGGCAUAAGCCAGCUUGACUGCGAGCGUGACGGCGCGAGCAGGUGCGAAAGCAGGUCAUAGUGAUCCGGUGGUUCUGAAUGGAAGGGCCAUCGCUCAACGGAUAAAAGGUACUCCGGGGAUAACAGGCUGAUACCGCCCAAGAGUUCAUAUCGACGGCGGUGUUUGGCACCUCGAUGUCGGCUCAUCACAUCCUGGGGCUGAAGUAGGUCCCAAGGGUAUGGCUGUUCGCCAUUUAAAGUGGUACGCGAGCUGGGUUUAGAACGUCGUGAGACAGUUCGGUCCCUAUCUGCCGUGGGCGCUGGAGAACUGAGGGGGGCUGCUCCUAGUACGAGAGGACCGGAGUGGACGCAUCACUGGUGUUCGGGUUGUCAUGCCAAUGGCACUGCCCGGUAGCUAAAUGCGGAAGAGAUAAGUGCUGAAAGCAUCUAAGCACGAAACUUGCCCCGA
rnacentral:rRNA from 3 species